GCGGGAGGGUGCUGGGGAAGUUCGGGCUGUCCCCAGAAGUCAACUUAUACGACCAUCAUGCCGGACUACACAUGUCAUCUCCCGGAGCAGCAGGCAGUGGCUGGGACGGCAGCACAGAGAGACAGCCCGGCACAGGUUCCGCUCAGAGCCUCAGGAUGUGGGGAGGCUUCUACAGACGACCAGCUUGGUGGCAUCAUCGUCCCCACCUGGAGUAAGGAGACCUUAUCUGGAACCUGGAUGUGUGUCUGUAAGAAACUCUUAUGAAGUUGUCGGGGUUCAAGUUGGCCUUCCUGUUGUUCAACCUGGUGGAGAAUGUUCCUGUGGGCCUUGGCAGCAAGUCAGCAUUCUUCGUUGACAUGGAGUCGUAGGAAAAAGAGCCUCUCCACCCUGAAGUCAGUCUCAUAUCACCCCCAAUAAACAGUUACAUCGCCUCUGCCAACACAGGAUCCCAAA
rnacentral:lncRNA from 1 species